rnacentral:rRNA from 1 species
UACGUAGGGUGCAAGCGUUAAUCGGAAUUACUGGGCGUAAGCGUGCGCAGGCGGUUUUGUAAGUCUGUCGUGAAAGCCCCGGGCUCAACCUGGGAAUUGCGAUGGAGACUGCAAGGCUUGAAUCUGGCAGAGGGGGGUAGAAUUCCACGUGUAGCAGUGAAAUGCGUAGAGAUGUGGAGGAACACCGAUGGCGAAGGCAGCCCCCUGGGUCAAGAUUGACGCUCAUGCACGAAAGCGUGGGGAGCAAACAGG